GGGCCUUUGGAGCGGUCUUGUUGAGGGGAAGUGCUCCAGGCAGGCCAGCAGGCUCCACAGGGCAUCCCACCCACCGGCUAAUUCAGAGCACCCACCGCAGUGUGUUCCCACCAGGACUAUUGCAGCAGAUCUGGCCACCACUUUCUUUCUCUGACCUCUGUUCUCUGCCAGGUAUCUCGUGCCUCCUCCAAGGCUAGCAGUUAGCCACCUCUGACAAUACUUAGUCAGAGGCUUUGAGUUAUCCCAGUUUAUGGAAGAGUGGCUGUCAUGAUGCCUGACUCAAGUCUGCCUGUUGGGUGGUGUCUUCGUUGACUCUUCUUAAUGCCACUAUGGACCAGGUGGUGAUGAGGACAGAAAUCCUGCCCAUAGUGCCUCAGGAGCCUCUGGUGAUGGGUGAGUCCUCUGGUGAUGGGUGAGUCCUCUGGUGAUGGGUGAGUCUUCUGGUGAUGGGUGAGUCCUCUGGUGAUGGGUGAGUCCUCUGGUGAUGGGUGAGAGUCCUGUGGUGAUGGGUGAGUCCUGUGGUGAUGGGUGAGAGUCCUCUGGUGAUGGGUGAGUCCUGUGGUGAUGGGUGAGUCCUCUGGUGAUGGGUGAGUCUUCUGGUGAUGGGUGAGUCUUCUGGUGAUGGGUUAGUCUUCUGGUGAUGGGUGAGUCCUCUGGUGAUGAGUGAGAGUCCUGUGGUGAUGGGUGAGUCCUGUGGUGAUGGGUGAGAGUUCUCUGGUGAUGGAUGAGUCCUCUGGUGAUGGGUGAGUCCUCUGGUGAUGGGUGAGUAUUCUGGUGAUGGGUGAGUCCUCUGGUGAUGGGUGAGUCCUCUGGUGAUGGGUGAGAGUCCUGUGGUGAUGGGUGAGUCCUGUGGUGAUGGGUGAGAGUUCUCUGGUGAUGGAUGAGUCCUCUGGUGAUGGGUGAGUCCUCUGGUGAUGGGUGAGUCUUCUGGUGAUGGGUGAGUCCUCUGGUGAUGGGUGAGUCCUCUGGUGAUGGGUGAGAGUCCUGUGGUGAUGGGUGAGUCCUGUGGUGAUGGGUGAGAGUCCUCUGGUGAUGGGUGAGUCCUGUGGUGAUGGGUGAGUCCUCUGGUGAUGGGUGAGUCCUGUGGUGAUGGGUGAGUCCUCUGGUGAUGGGUGAGUCCUCUGGUGAUGGGUGAGUUCUCUGGUGAUGGGUGAGUCCUCUGGUGAUGGGUGAGUCUUCUGGUGAUGGGUGAGUCCUCUGGUGAUGGGUGAGUCCUCUGGUGAUGGGUGAGUCCUCUGGUGAUGGGUGAGUCCUCUGGUGAUGGGUGAGAGUCCUGUGGUGAUGGGUGAGUCCUGUGGUGAUGGGUGAGAGUCCUCUGGUGAUGGAUGAGUCCUCUGGUGAUGGGUGAGUCUUCUGGUGAUGGAUGAGUCCUGUGGUGAUGGGUGAGUGUCCUCUGGUGAUGGGUGAGUCCUGUGGUGAUGGGUGAGAGUCCUCUGGUGAUGGAUGCUCAUCGUUUGCCUUUUAUGCAAAGGUGUGAGGUGACCUGCCUAAAGGUUAUUAACCUUCAAUAGAAGUGUGCUGGUGUGCGUGCUUGUGUGUGUGUGUGUAUACACACACAUAUUUAAGUUGAAGUGAAAUCAUGAAACGGACAAUUAUCUUAUCAUUCUUUGUCUAUAUGUGCAGAUGUGUGCAUAUUCAUGUGUAUGUGCACAUGCAUUUGUGUGUGUGUGCACACACGUGCGUAUAAGCCAGAGGACCAUCGUAGGUGCUCUAGGAUCAUCCACCUUAUAUUUUGAGAUAAGGUCUCCCGCUAGGACUUGGUGCUCACUGACUAGGCUGGCUAGUGAGCCUCAGGGAAUCUGCUUGUCACUAGAUCCCCAGCACGGUGACAUGCAUGCACCGCCAUACCUAUCUUUUUACAUGAAUUCUGAGAAUCAGCCUCAAGUCCUCACACCCGCGCUUUACCGACUGAGCCUUCUCCACAGCACCCAGAAUGCACAUGGCGAAUCCCACUGUCUGGAGAGUUUUGAUUGUGCAGCCCUCAGGGUCACGCAUGCCUGUGAAGGGGUAGCCGACCUCCGACCUCCACUCCAGAAGCUUCUUUGGGUCUCCACACACAGGCAUCCUUCCCUUCCAGGGCAACAACUGUGCCUUUGUGGCUCAUGCUAGGACUGCACUCCAGGAAGCCAUCUGCUGCCAGUGCCCCGCUGGGCAGGCUGUAGGUGCUCCCAAGUCUGUUUCCUGGGUCCUGGGCUCUUGCAUGGCUGGUGGAUAACUUCUGUCUAGAGCAGUGUUUCCUGAGCAAAGGCCACUAAGACUCCCUGUUCUCCUGCGGGUUCAGGUUUGGCUGUAAAGAGGAGAACGGUUGUGAAUCCCCACACAGUUCUCUGUGUGGAUGAGUCUCCUCUUGGUGAAUUCCAGGGAAGGAGUGAUGGGCACAGAGCUCCUCUGCUUCCCACUCAGGUGCUGCAUAGGGACCGCUCAUAGCUGUCAUCUCCUGUGACAUGGUUCUAGUUUCAUUUUUGUCCCAGUGACAGAAGCAACUCAGGGGAGGAAAGGGUUAACUUGACUUGUGCUUCCAUGCUGCUGGUCACUGUUUCAGGGACCCAAGCAGCCAGUCACAUCACAUCCACAGUCAAGAGGAGAAGAGGAACGCACCCUGAUACCUGUUGGCUCUGGAUUUUCUCCUGUUAAGUACAUUCAGGACCUUCUGACUAGGGAAUGGUGCUGCCCACAAGAGCAGUGGUCUUCCUAUAUCAUUAAUAAUAGACAAUGCUCCAUAGACAUGGCUGCAGACCAACCAUUAUUUUUCCCAAGUAAUUCUAAACUGUAGCAAGAUGACAUUUACAACUAACUGUCAUGGACAUUUUAAAAGAAUAACUCUCCACUCUCCUUUAACAUGAAGCUCCCAUUUGGAUUUGGCUGACAGUCAUGGAAGAAGACAGGGUGAGCCCAGCUCUGGUUGAAAUCUGGAUGCAAUAAAGAGAAGCCCGAGUGCUGGCGUGCACUGGUGUGCACAGUUGGUCCUGUGCAUCUGAUCUGGGACUCCCUGGAGAGAUAAGCUUUUUUCCCUUGGUCAAUGGACACCUCUCCUGUGUCUGCCACACUCUGUCCUCCCAUUGUCCCAACCAAAUCUGCAUGCCUCCAUUAUCAUGAGCCUGGCACAGAAUCCCAUGCGGGUCCCAUGACAGAUGGGAGCCACAGGGCAGUGCCCAGUCUGAAGGCCCAUAGCUAGUGGUCUGGCCUCUGGUACCCACCCAUUAGCUUUUAAAAUGGAGGUGGGGCUUGCUGCACCUGGCUUCCCUCAGCGUAGGCAGCUCUUUGGAGGGAGCUAUGGCAGCCGAAGAGACAGAGAGGAUCCUUUCCAGAGUUUUCAGAGGAAGCACUGGUCUCGCUCACAGGCACCUAGUUUGGGAGCCUGGCUUCCAGAACCCCAAGGAAAUAAAUGAAUGAAUGCCUCUCGUAAAGCUGACUGGAGCAGCCCUGCUGCCCGAUCUGGCCUGCUUUGUCCUAAGCACUGGCCGCUGGACCUUCUAGGUGACUAUGGGUCAUUUCAGCCAUUGGUGCAGAAUGGAUGUGAGAACAGGAGAAGCUGUUGCUGGGCAGAGUCUCCAGAAGGCAGUGGCUGUGGGCGCCAGCCACGCCACCCCAGGAGCCUGAGAUGAUGCUGGCCCCAUCUCCACAUGGUAUAUCUUCCUUGGCUGUGAGAUGGAUCUAUAAAGGGAGCUAGCGGCCUUUCAAGCCUGUGUUUGUUUGUUUGGGGGGAUCCCGCUGCCGUCUGAACCAACAGCUUGAAGCUAUUUGAGUGUUUCUGUAGUUGAUGUGGGUAUGCAGUCUGCCUUCAUUCUGGGAACAGCUCCUCUGCCAGUCUGAUUUGUCUAGCUGGGGACCCUGCCAU
rnacentral:lncRNA from 1 species